UACAGAGGGUGCAAGCGUUAAUCGGAAUUACUGGGCGUAAAGCGCGCGUAGGUGGUUCGUUAAGUUGGAUGUGAAAUCCCCGGGCUCAACCUGGGAACUGCGUUCAAAACUGUCGAGCUAGAGUAUGGUAGAGGGUGGUGGAAUUUCCUGUGUAGCGGUGAAAUGCGUAGAUAUAGGAAGGAACACCAGUGGCGAAGGCGACUUCCUGGACUCAAACUGACGCUGAGGCGCGAAAGCAUGGGUAGCAAACAGG
rnacentral:rRNA from 1 species